CCCCUCUCAGGAUGGUACCUGGAGAGUUUCCAGGACUCUACCAGAGUCGACUACGGGAGGGAGAGUCAAGUGGAGGCAUAACCAUUCCAUUCCUAGCUUGGGCAGUGGCUAAUGAGUGGGAGGCAAUCUGCUACAGGU